AAGACCUUGCGCUUUUGGAGCGGCCGAUGCCUGAUUAGCUUGUUGGUAAGGUAAAAGCUUACCAAGGCUUCGAUCAGUAGCUGGUCUGAGAGGACGACCAGCCACACUGGGACUGAGACACGGCCCAGACUCCUACGGGAGGCAGCAGUGGGGAAUUUUGGACAAUGGGGGCAACCCUGAUCCAGCCAUGCCGCGUGAGUGAAGAAGGCCUUCGGGUUGUAAAGCUCUUUCAGCCGGAACGAAACGGUUACGGWUAACACCCGUGACUACUGACGGUACCGGAAGAAGAAGCACCGGCUAACUACGUGCCAGCAGCCGCGGUAAUACGUAGGGUGCGAGCGUUAAUCGGAAUUACUGGGCGUAAAGCGUGCGCAGGUGGUUUUGCAAGUCAGAUGUGAAAGCCCCGGGCUCAACCUGGGAACU
rnacentral:rRNA from 1 species